rnacentral:snRNA from 1 species
GUACUUCCCUGGCAAGGGAGAUACCAUGAUCACGAAGGUGAUUUUCCAAAGGCGAAGCUUAUCCAUUACAUUCCUGCUGUGCUGACCCCUGCAACUUCCCCAAAUAUAGGAAACUCUAUUGCAUAAUUUGUGGUAUGGGGGACUGCAUUCGAGUUCUCCCCUG